rnacentral:lncRNA from 1 species
UCAAUUAUUUGUCAAAUUUUUAACAAACCCAUCACUUUCAGAUGGAUCCAGAACCUUGGAUUCUUACACAGGCAAGCUGAAACCCAAGUUGCCAUCAACAAUGAAGCCAAAAGAGCCUACCCACUCUGAACCAAUCAGCCUCUGGCUAGAAAUUCCCCAUAUUUCCAGUAUUUUCUACCUUGUUUACUUCCAAGAGCCUUUUCUGCUUGGGCAUUUUGCCGAGCCCCAAGACGAGAACAGGAAGAUAGUGGAUGUUAACUACGAUAACCCUGAACCUGGAGAGACAGUAACACACUUAAAGAGUUCACACUGCUGUUGCAGAGGAACCAGAUUCAGUUCCCAGCAUCCAUGUCAGUAUAACUCCAGCUCCAGAGGUUGUGGCCACCAUGAAUCUUGUACUCAUAUGCACAAAUCCACACAAAGACACUUAUAUAUACACAUAAAUUUUGCAUCUUUAAAAACAAGUGUGAAGCAAAUCAUAUAUAUAUAUAUAUAUGAUACUUUAAGAUAUCAUGUUGUGCACAUUAAAUGAAACAGUAUCACCUGUCAUUUAAAACUCCCAAGUUUCUAACCACAGCUCCUAGGUGAAUGAUGACACAAUUCCCUGCCAUAGGGAGGAGAGUGUAACUGUUUUCUCUGAAUACUUUAAGACUUCCUAUCUUUACCGCUGUGGUGGUUCAUGUUUGUAAUUCCAGCUCCUGGAAAGUGAGGCAGGUGAGGGACCAGGGAAUCAAGGCCAGGCCUGAAUACACAAAACCUAAAGGAAAUCCUCCAUCCUAAAACCUCAGUCAUAGAAUAGGCCCAGGGCUUCAAGAAACCUGCCAUCCAUAGAAUGCCAGAAAGCAGCCUGUGGCCUUGGGGAGGGGUAGAAGUAUUUAGCCUAGGAAGGAUGGGGAAAAGGGCUCUGUCUCUACAUCCAUGGAGGAGUCACCAUCCCUGCUGGAUUCAGACUUUCUCAUGUGGCUGUUUUAAGGCCACCCCACACUCCUGCCCAUAACUUCUCACCCAUUGCUCUGUAAGCAAGCCUAAUAAAGUCAUUGGUUCCCCC